rnacentral:rRNA from 1 species
CACUCCUACGGGAGGCAGCAGUGGGGAAUAUUGGACAAUGGGCGCAAGCCUGAUCCAGCCAUGCCGCGUGAGUGAUGAAGGCCCUAGGGUUGUAAAGCUCUUUCACCGGUGAAGAUAAUGACGGUAACCGGAGAAGAAGCCCCGGCUAACUUCGUGCCAGCAGCCGCGGUAAUACGAAGGGGGCUAGCGUUGUUCGGAUUUACUGGGCGUAAAGCGCACGUAGGCGGACUAUUAAGUCAGGGGUGAAAUCCCGGGGCUCAACCCCGGAACUGCCUUUGAUACUGGUAGUCUUGAGUUCGAGAGAGGUGAGUGGAAUUCCGAGUGUAGAGGUGAAAUUCGUAGAUAUUCGGAGGAACACCAGUGGCGAAGGCGGCUCACUGGCUCGAUACUGACGCUGAGGUGCGAAAGCGUGGGGAGCAAACAGGAUUAGAUACCCGAGUAGUCCCAUGA